rnacentral:rRNA from 2 species
GCUCAGGACGAACGCUGGCGGCGUGCCUAAUACAUGCAAGUCGAGCGGACCGACGGGAGCUUGCUCCCUUAGGUCAGCGGCGGACGGGUGAGUAACACGUGGGUAACCUGCCUGUAAGACUGGGAUAACUCCGGGAAACCGGGGCUAAUACCGGAUGCUUGAUUGAACCGCAUGGUUCAAUCAUAAAAGGUGGCUUUUAGCUACCACUUACAGAUGGACCCGCGGCGCAUUAGCUAGUUGGUGAGGUAACGGCUCACCAAGGCGACGAUGCGUAGCCGACCUGAGAGGGUGAUCGGCCACACUGGGACUGAGACACGGCCCAGACUCCUACGGGAGGCAGCAGUAGGGAAUCUUCCGCAAUGGACGAAAGUCUGACGGAGCAACGCCGCGUGAGUGAUGAAGGUUUUCGGAUCGUAAAACUCUGUUGUUAGGGAAGAACAAGUACCGUUCGAAUAGGGCGGUACCUUGACGGUACCUAACCAGAAAGCCACGGCUAACUACGUGCCAGCAGCCGCGGUAAUACGUAGGUGGCAAGCGUUGUCCGGAAUUAUUGGGCGUAAAGCGCGCGCAGGCGGUUUCUUAAGUCUGAUGUGAAAGCCCCCGGCUCAACCGGGGAGGGUCAUUGGAAACUGGGGAACUUGAGUGCAGAAGAGGAGAGUGGAAUUCCACGUGUAGCGGUGAAAUGCGUAGAGAUGUGGAGGAACACCAGUGGCGAAGGCGACUCUCUGGUCUGUAACUGACGCUGAGGCGCGAAAGCGUGGGGAGCGAACAGGAUUAGAUACCCUGGUAGUCCACGCCGUAAACGAUGAGUGCUAAGUGUUAGAGGGUUUCCGCCCUUUAGUGCUGCAGCAAACGCAUAAGCACUCCGCCUGUUAGAUCCCGCUCUUU